AUUGAACGCUGGCGGCAGGCCUAACACAUGCAAGUCGAGCGGAUGGAGGGAGCUUGCUCCUGGAUUCAGGGGCGGACGGGGGAGUAAUGCCUAGGAACCGGCCUGGUAGGGGGGGAUAAAGUUCGGAAAGGGGAGGCAAUACGGCAUAAGGACUGAGGGGGAAAGGGGGGGAUCGUCGGAGCUUAGGCUAUCGGAUGAGCACAGGUCGAAUUAGCCAGUUGGUGGGAUAAAGGCCUACAAGGGCGACAAUCCGUAACUGGUCUGAGAGGAUGAUAAGUCACCCUGGAUGUGAGGCACGUUCCAGACUCCUACGGUAGGCAACAGUGGGGAAUAUUAGACGAUGGACGAAAGCCUGAUCCAGCCCUGCCGCGUGUGUGAAGAUGGUCUUCUGCUUGUAGAGCGCUUUAAGUUGGGAGGUAGGACAGUAAUUUAAUACCUUGCUGUUUUGACGUUACCAACAGAAUAAGCACCGGCUAACUUCGUG
rnacentral:rRNA from 1 species